AACGGCUAUACCAUGCUGAAUAUAUCGGUUCUCGUUAGAUCACCGAAGUAAAGCAUCAUUGGUACUUGGUGGGGUACUUGGGUGGGUGACCGCCUGGGAACACCACGUGCCGUU